rnacentral:rRNA from 1 species
AGCCCUUGACAUCCCGGUCGCGGGAUCCAGAGAUGGAUCUCUUCAGUUCGGCUGGACCGGUGACAGGUGCUGCAUGGCUGUCGUCAGCUCGUGUCGUGAGAUGUUGGGUUAAGUCCCGCAACGAGCGCAACCCUCGCCCCUAGUUGCCAUCAUUCAGUUGGGCACUCUAGGGGGACUGCCGGUGAUAAGCCGAGAGGAAGGUGGGAUGACGUCAAGUCCUCAUCGG